CGGCGGACUAUGAUGGGGGGUUCGGCGUCCCCUGGAACCCGAAACCGUCGAUAUGCGGGGGCCGAAGCCCGAGGGGCGGUUCCUGAAUUCAGUGGCGGAAGCCGGGAGGAGUCAUGAGCCCUUGUCCCACGGGGCCGGCGGUGGGAGAGGUGGAGCUGAAGGGCUCCGCUAACUCCCUUUGCCCGCUGAACCCCGCGAGGCCCGGAAG
rnacentral:SRP_RNA from 1 species